rnacentral:lncRNA from 1 species
AUCCAUCCUUGUGGCGGCGCCGGUGGCAGAUCACAUAUUGAAACUACCGCCACCACCUCUCCUCCCACCCAAUCCUCCCUCGAGGUGCACAACCGGUGCGUGCUCGCAGCCGCUUCCUCUCAUCCACCGCCCCACCUCCCCGGCCGCUGGCAGCUGCUCUGCUUCCUCCCGAUGGCCAAGAAUGGGAAAGACCAGACCGUUGGGUCUUUAGGUCUUGUACACAAUUUCAGGAAGGUUUGCAACUCUGGCGUAUAACAAACAAGAGAUAUUGAAUAGAUGUUCAUACAUUAAAAAUGCACUAAUUGAUUUCAUAGCUUCAACUAAUUUCGGAUGCAUUAAUGGCUUCAGAUUGGACGUUGUGACUUGUGAACAGCCAUGGACAUACUGAUAAUCGAAACUCAGGUUAAACUGAGAAUUUCCAUAUCCUACACUACAUCUUACGGAAACUGACAUAUGCAAAACUUAUUGGGUUUCUUGCUCGGUCGCCAUGUCGGCUGUUGGCUCAGAAUGUGGAGGUAUUUGGGAUAUUGCUGGAAAAGUAUCAGCAAGUACUUCCUCCUCCGUGAAACAAUUCAAUGUCUUUUAUUAGGACAAGUAAAGAGCAGUUUUCAGACAGAAGAUACAUACCAUCGUCUCAUCGGUUCUUGUUUCAUGACCCGUCAGAAAAAUCUGAGCACUUAUAGCUGAAAGAUGUUGCCUCUUCUUGGCAUGCCGCAGUGACGAGGGAACGGUCCGACCGGCAUGAUUGUGUAUGGCUAAAACCUGAAAGUAGGAGACUCAAUAUUGAGAUGUGAAUUUGGUGCUCUGCCAAUGGCUUAAGAAAACAUCCAAUGCGUGAAUGUCCCGAGGUUAGAAACACUAACAUCAAUAAUACAUUCAGAGACAGGUUAAGUUAGAUUUGUUGUUAAAAAAUAUUACAAUAUUAGUUUGUAAAACACACAAAUAUAUUUGUUGGUUAGCCAUCAAAUUUGAAAACCAUUUUCCACACAUGCUCCUAUGCAAUCAGCAAAUCAAUAGGUAAAGAUGGAAAGAGAAAGGGACAAAGUUGUCCAUGUUCCUAGUUUUAUGAGACAGCAAUCAGUACAUGAUCUUAAUUUCCUAGGGACUGGUAGGUCCACAAAAUCACAGUCCUCAGCCACCUUUGAAUUUGCAAAAUGAAAAUUAAAUUAAGCUGUGCAUACUGGGACCAAAUAAUGACCGGUACUCGCUAUUUUCACUGUUUCCAUGAAUAAGAUCACAAAUCCAGAUAGCAUAGUACAGAUCCAUGCUUCAGUUCUCAUCCUGCAAAUUUCAAUAAGAGAUGUAAGCUAUAAAUAAACAUGUAAAACCAAAAAUGGCAUGCACUUACAACACAAAUUAGAAUCUACACCAAAUUUUUGGUUAAAAUCAUGGCAAUUUGGAAAGAACCAGAACCACAAAUCAUGGGCUUGAAAUCCUUCAUGUGCAUUGACGUACAUAAUUCACACAAACCAAACCCAAUAAAAUCUCAUACGAGGAGGUUACGAUCCAAGAGAAAGAGCUCACCUCCUCCUUAUUUGCCAGGAUCCAGAUCCUCCAUGUCAUGUUCUCCAGCCGUGUGUUCCUUGUUCGUGUAUGACAAAUCUUGCAGAUCGAUCAAUAAACCAGUGUAAUUAGUUGUUCAGCAAGGAUAUUUAAUCCAUCACAUCUAGUUCUAUUUGAUAGUGCUCAGAUAAGUAAUGAACUGCAGCUUCAUUAAUUCAAUCUAGUAUGAGGAUUGGAUAAAUCUGCCAAUUUAGCAUCCAGUUAUGUACUUUGUUGUGCUGCCACCACGGCUCUUUUUGUGUAUAAGAGAGAGAGUCAGGAAGAGAGAUAGGGUAAGGGAGAGGGAGCCGAGGGGAGAGGGGGAGUAUCUGUCGUGGAGCCGUGGAGGGAAGGCUGGCCUCACCAGCGUCCACCCGUGGCGGCGAGGAGGUCACGUAGACGACGGCUGUCUCAAGCAGAAGAACGACGCCGAUGACGGAUCCGACGAGCUCUCGUUGCAGUCGUCAACAAACUCGCCGCCCUCCUCAGGUGGCCCCAUCGUCGUUCACCAGGGCCGUCGGGUGGUGCUCCUACCACCCAGCACCUCCGACAACAACUUCGACCGAAUCGAUCCGCCGCCUCCCACAUCGAGGCAGAUCACAGAUCGAAACCAACGCCGCCGCCGCCUUCUCCUCCGACCCUCUCAUCUCUUGUGGCGACGAAGUUGGUGGGAGAACGGAGCUAGCUCCUCUCCCGCUGGCGAUGCUUGUGGCGGCGGCUUAGAUGGAAGAGGACACGAGAGAGAGGGAGGUCGCGUACGUGGGUUGCCUAGGGAGGAAAGUAACAGGGAAGGUGUUAUCUGGGGUGGACAGGCA